ACCUCUAGAGAGAACCUGUGACUACUGCAGCAAAAAGACAAUUAGAAAGUUAACAUCUGCCCAGCAUAAGGCCUCCAGCAAACUAAGGCAAUGCUGGGGCUCUGCCUAUUCUCAGUGGUUGAUGCCAUUUUUAAAUAUAAAUUUUUUUGGUCAUUCUUACCCACAGAAGGACUUUACAGCAAGAAUAGAAGCAAGCUGAGGUGUAUGCCAGAUGACAUGACAGCCACAUGGACCUUACCAUCUUUUUUCUUUAAAUUAUCAAGAGGAGACCACAAGAUGAGGAAUACUUCACUGCAGGUGGUGAUAUGAAACUGACAAGUAGUUUAUAAACUAGCCCUACCCUAUUGCUUGGAGAAGCUUUAUAACUGAUUGUUUUAAUACCAAAGUGACACCAAAGGGGGUCAAGUAAAUAAAUAUGCAAGCCUCACCAGUUCAAAAUAAUAAAAUUCCAAUGUGUGCAAGCCUGCUUGUUGAACAUAUGUUUGAGGCACGGCUAAGCCAUCUGGCUCAGUGUCAAGCAUUUACACCAACUGUAGUCUUACAGUACCUGACAGCAGAAAAGCUUUAUUCCCCUGGUGUUUGGGCACAAAUGGAGAAAUAUUAUUGAAAUGAUUAUCUGCAUCAAGACUCAGAUUUGCUUUGACAUUUAGCUGGCUCUGUUUAAUCCAAAGGGUUGUCUGAAUGAAUAAAGAGAAGGGUUCCUCCAGAAGAUGCUGCGAGCAGCCAGGGAAAGCCAAAUGAUUAAUGAGACUGAAAGGCAGGGUGGACCUGCCCACCUCCACCCAGACCUCAGUGCCAAGAACUGAAUAUGAAAUUAGUCUAAAGCUUUCCGUGGCUUGUCAGGAAGAUUCUUCUACCCUCACAUGGGCUCUCAUUUUGGACUCUGGAACAAAAGAAAUGGAUACCUUACCCAAUAUGGAGGAAAUAGAGAGGCUGGGAGAGUGCUUCGUGUUAUAAUCAGAACAUUUCACAUUCAAACACUUUUUGCUUUUAACAGCUCUACCAGAGGCAUUUAGAUAUUACGUUAGGAGUAGAGUCUCUUUUCGGAAUUAGAAAGCUGCGGCUUGUCGCCUGGUUUCUGUUUUGGCAGCUGGUUUCUAUAUGCUAUGGUCCUUAUAUCAAGAUAAUUUCUUUUGGCUUAGAAUGCUAUGUUCCUCUGGUUAUUCUGUGUUGCCAUUCAUUUUAAGAUGCUAUAUUAAGCUGAGUUACUUGAAAAACGAGGUACAGUGCUAGUUUUAGCAUUCACCUGUGCUAGCAAAAUUCAGGCAUUUAGCCAAAAAAGAGACAUCUUUCAUAGUCAAAGACAAUUAGCAAUAAAAUAAAAUAUUAAUUUUAAAAUAAAACAGAAUAAUAACAACAAUAAUAGAAUAGGCAUCUUAAUUUGGAAAUCUUUAUCAAAGAUUUAUAGGUUGUCACUUAUUUCUUCAGGUAUAUUGUACCUUUUGGAGGGAGAAUUUUAGUAAUGAUUGUUGAUUUAGAUUUGAAAUUACUUUGGUGAUUUGGUUUUAAUAAGAAUGUUAGGCAUGAUUUCUUUCUCACUCUUACUUUUAAUUAACUUUUUAUAGAGAUAUGAAUGAAUUCUAAUGAACACAAUUGGCAAGCUAAUUGAUUUGUUUCAGAUCACAGUGAGCGAUCAGUAUGCUGGCAACAUUGAUAUACUAUUCAAGGAUGUCAAACAGUUUUUGGGUUAAUUUUCUGGCAGAGGUUAGUUGGGGAAACUGCUUAAAAUAUGUACUGUUUUUGAUUUUCAACUAAGUGCCUGGUUUUUUAAAUAUUCAGUGAAUUAAAAGAUAUCUAUUCCUUUGAA